GGCAACUCCGCGCACACAACCGGAGAAGGCUGCAACUGUGGCGCGAAGUUCAGCGCGAGAGCGUUCUUUGCACCUUCAAGCAAGACUAGCAAGAGGGUGUUAUUCAUUAGGCUACCAUAUGCUACAUCAGGACAAACGACGAAAGAUCGCUGAACAUGGAAUGUCGCUGGAGCCAGCAUUUCGACGAGGGGACUUGUCUUCGCCAGCCCCACCGUUCGGACCCACCGUUCGCCAGACCCGCCGAUAAAUAACACAUGUUCACAUGCGUAUAAGCAACAUUUUCAGCCGCAGAAAUAAUGCUGCAGAGCGCGGAGCCUGCUCUUCUGUCAGACUGUCACCCCCUGCGCGAAUGUGAGCCAUGAUCGGCGCCAGCGAGGAGAAGCGUGGAGCGGACAACAGGCUGACGGGUCGCCCAGCUGACGGACGUCUUUGCAAUGAAGAGGGGGGGGGGGGGCUUGGCCGCCACAGCCACCUCUUGUUGCCUCAAGGAGCUCGCUUCAAGUAGUGUAGCGCCUCGGAGAACACCGUUCUUCUAUAACGAUGCAUUAAAGAUGCC